rnacentral:rRNA from 1 species
GACGAACCGUGCGAACGUUGUUCGGAAUCACUGGGCAUAAAGGGCGCGUAGGCGGCUUGUCAAGUCAGGGGUGAAAUCCGGCAGCUUAACUGUCGAAGUGCCUUUGAUACUGAUGAGCUCGAGGGAGGUAGGGGUAUGCGGAACUUCCGGUGGAGCGGUGAAAUGCGUUGAUAUCGGAAGGAACGCCGGUGGCGAAAGCGGCGUACUGGACCUCUUCUGACGCUGAGGCGCGAAAGCUAGGGGAGCAAACAGG